rnacentral:rRNA from 1 species
AGAGUUUGAUCCUGGCUCAGGAUGAACGCUGGCGGCGUGCUUAACACAUGCAAGUCGAACGAUUAACCCUUCUUCGGAAGGUCAUAAAGUGGCGAACGGGUGAGUAACACGUGACCAACCUGCCUCUCACAUUGGGAUAACUUAGAGAAAUCUAAGCUAAUACCAAAUACUCUUGAUCUGCCGCAUGACAGACCAAGGAAAGCUUUCGCGGUGAGAGAUGGGGUCGCGGCCCAUUAGGUAGUUGGUGGGGUAGAGGCCUACCAAGCCGAUGAUGGGUAGCCGGGUUGAGAGACCGACCGGCCACAUUGGGACUGAGAUACGGCCCAGACUCCUACGGGAGGCAGCAGUGGGGAAUUUUGCGCAAUGGGGGCAACCCUGACGCAGCAACGCCGCGUGCGGGACGACGGCCUUCGGGUUGUAAACCGCUUUCAGCAGGGAAGAAAUUCGACGGUACCUGCAGAAGAAGCUCCGGCUAACUACGUGCCAGCAGCCGCGGUAAUACGUAGGGAGCGAGCGUUAUCCGGAUUCAUUGGGCGUAAAGAGCGCGUAGGCGGCCUCUCAAGCGGGAUCUCUAAUCCGAGGGCUCAACCCCCGGCCGGAUCCCGAACUGGGAGGCUCGAGUUCGGUAGAGGCAGGCGGAAUUCCCGGUGUAGCGGUGGAAUGCGCAGAUAUCGGGAAGAACACCGAUGGCGAAGGCAGCCUGCUGGGCCGCAACUGACGCUGAGGCGCGAAAGCUAGGGGAGCGAACAGGAUUAGAUACCCUGGUAGUCCUAGCCGUAAACGAUGGAUACUAGGUGUGGGGGGCUCCGCCCUCCGUGCCGCAGCCAACGCAUUAAGUAUCCCGCCUGGGGAGUACGGCCGCAAGGCUAAAACUCAAAGGAAUUGACGGGGGCCCGCACAAGCAGCGGAGCAUGUGGCUUAAUUCGAAGCAACGCGAAGAACCUUACCAGGGCUUGACAUGGACGGGAAGCCGGGGAAACCCGGUGGCCGAGAGGAGCGUCCGCAGGUGGUGCAUGGCUGUCGU